GAGUGCUGCUGCAGCUGGCUCAGAGGAAUGGUGGGGGUGCCGGGGGGGAGAGGAGUGCCUGCUGUAGGGGGUAACUCUGGGGGAAUA